rnacentral:rRNA from 1 species
CUACGGGACGCUGCAGUGAGGAAUUUUGCGCAAUGGGGGAAACCCUGACGCAGCAACGCCGCGUGAGCGAAGAAGGCCCUCGGGUCGUAAAGCUCUGUCAAGUGGGAAAAAAAUCUUUUGAUUAAUAGUCAAAAGACUUGAUGGUACCACUGGAGGAAGCACCGGCUAACUCCGUGCCAGCAGCCGCGGUAAUACGGAGGGUGCAAGCGUUGUUCGGAUUUACUGGGCGUAAAGCGCGUGUAGGCGGUUUAGCAAGUCAGAUGUGAAAGCCCUGGGCUCAACCCGGGAAGUGCAUUUGAAACUGCUUCACUAGAGUAUGGGAGAGGGGAUUGGAAUUCCUGGUGUAGAGGUGAAAUUCGUAGAUAUCAGGAGGAACACCCGUGGCGAAGGCGAUUCUCUGGACCAAUACUGACGCUGAGACGCGAAAGCGUGGGGAGCAAACAGGAUUAGAUACCCCCGUAGUC